rnacentral:ncRNA from 2 species
UUUUAGAGAGAGAUGUAUGAUAAGAAAGUGCUAAACAAAUAAAUAUCUUCAGGAUUGGGGAAGCGAGGUGAAAUUCCUCCGCAGUGCCGCUACGGUAAUCCUCUUGUUUUAAAAACAAAGGAGAGUCCGAGUACCAAUCAUGAAGUAAUCCCGAGC